rnacentral:lncRNA from 1 species
CUUGAACCAGGUGGUGUGGUCAUACUCCUCACCAGGCCUCAGCAGCACAGGAGGGAAGCGGGGCUGUGAAGGGGAAACAACACAGAAAGAUACAAUCUGAGAAGCAACCCUGCAGGACUUGGCUGAAAGUCAACAGGCGGCUGAUCAAAUGAAGCAAUAGAAGCUGUGUAAUUUGUCACAUCAAGCACCUGCGACAAACCCACGCACAAUCCGAGGAAUAGAUGACCAACAUACAUACUUAAAGAAUGUGAACUUUCAACACAACUUGUUCAUAACAAGAUUCUGCAUAUGAGAAAACCAAGAACCAGAAAGACAAGGGAUCUGUCAGGAACACCAUAUGCUGCAACAGAACAAUGACACCUGAGGUGACUUUCCCUUGACUUUCCCUUUCUUUUUUUGUUUUUUUUUUUUUUUUGA